rnacentral:lncRNA from 1 species
AAACCAGGGCGAGAUCCGAUUCCGUCGCCCUCUCGUCCACCCUCCCUCGCGGCUUCAUCCGUGCAUAUAAGCACCCCAUAGACCCCUUCUCCCUCCAACCGACGCUGCUUCCUUUCUUCAUCCACUAAACCGAAGCUCUGGAAGCCACGCCCGCCACCAUGAUUACCGCAGUUCGACUGGAAUCAACAGCAAUAUAUGAUGUAGUGAUGUUCUUUGGUGCACGGGGUCUGUACCUAGGGUUGAUUCGUGCAGCAGGAAGUCCUGGCGAACAACGGACCUUCAUCGCCGGGCAUCGGUCGCCGCAGAACCGCGCAACUUCGGGGGCAGCCUGUCUCGCCUAUCGAUUGGAGGUGAGCAACUACUCAUCUGGUUUGCCUUGCUCUCCUCUCCGCAUAGGGGCUUCUGGUGCGCGGUUUGGGGCUCGGUGAUGGCUGGAUACGUCUACAUCUAUGGCGCCGCCGCUGGGUUCCUGUGCACAGCCGUGUUGUUCGUCGGGGAGAGAGGAGGGGAGGAAGAAAGGAUUUAGUCCGUUAGAUGUCGAUCCGGCGGCCAUGAUCGCGUGUAGCGUAUCCCUUCGUCAAAUGUAUCUGAGCCGUAGGAUGGUAGUUCAAAGACCGAGAUUAGAUCCUGUCCUCGUAAAAAUUCUAGCCGCAAGAUUUUAAUCUGAUGCCCCACGUUGCGUACCGGUUCGUAGUGAAUUGGGAUCUAAUCCGCACCGUCCAUUCGCGAUCGUGCGACCCAGAUUUGAUCAUACCCCUUCGCGGGUAUGGUUUACUAAAGAGUCCCUGUCCUUUUAACAAAUGAACCCGCAGUACACCCAGGGUCGCUCUGUAUCUUAGAGACGCUUACACUAGGGCCCCUGUGUUUUCUGUAAUUAGUGCGCCCAGUCCAGAAGCCUGAUAAAAUUCAGAAUUUAUUUUAGAAAAUGAUUUUUAUUACAAAAACAAUACUAGAAACUUGUAUAAUUCAUAUUUAAUUCAUUUUAACUCAAAAUUGAGUCAUUCCAGUUGCAAUAAGUUUGUUUUAAUAUUGUCUACCAACUAGUAACACUGUUUAGCCAUGAAAAUUGAAUUAAAAUUGUUCACUUGAAUUAGUCUAUGUCAGGCAUUAAAUAACUUCAAAAAUUCAUAUCUAAACAAUCGUAGCUCCGAAUUUAGUGUUUCUUGUUCCCACGAUCUCAUAGCAACGUAUAGAUUAUUAAUAUAUAUUUUGUUCUGAUGUUUAGUGUGAUGUUAAUUCUGCCUAUACCAUGUUUGUCUAUAUUGCUACGACUAGCGCGAGGUCGCGUGUCAUCUGAAAGGCAAGUUAGUACCUGGAAUCUCAAGUGCCAGGCAAGUUGUGCCCUUGAUCACUUCUUUUACCCACUCAUGUUCUAAUUAAUCAUAAUGAUCUGCAUAGGUUAAUUUUGAUGGGACCUAAUAGGUUACCCUAGUUUGUCUAUUUUUAUGCCUUGUUUACCAUUGAACUUUUUGGGUAGUACUUGCUAGUGCUAUAUGUGGUUUUGGGCAUUGAGAUACACAUUAUUCAUGAUUAUACUUUUGUUAUCCGUUGUUAUUUACUGUUCAUGUCAAGAUCAUUAAUGUCAAUUGGAACAUAGAGCUUAACUUGAGAAACACGUGCCACCACAAGGGUUUAUGGACGCCCUUGGCUGAUUAAUUAGGAAAGCUAGUGGAGGACUACCUUACCCGAAAGGGGCAAGGGCAGUAGGGGAGUGGUCAGUGUAGGGAGGUCCUUGGUUGAUUUUGCUGCGAUGGCGGUCAGGCAAGAACCCUGCAUUGGAGCUUCCUAUAAACUGUAGCGGGUUUUCUGAAGCUAGUGGAACUUUGUAAAGGCCUCGUAGUGUUACCCUGCCUCGCCUCCUCGGUAGAGGUGUAUGGGAAGUCGCGAUCCCUUGGCAGAUGGGUAACAUGACUUGUGGGUAAAGGGUACCAGCUCUGCAGAGUGUAAAACUGGUAUACUAGCCGAGCUCACGGUCAUGAGCAGCUCAGGACUCUCUGAUGAUUAAUUUAUGGAACUAAAUUCAAUUUGUCAUAUGCAUUGCAUCGCAGGUGAUGUUGUUACUUUUGUUCUACUACUUAAUUGGGUUGGUAUUUACUUAUACUUAGUAAUUGCUAAUAAAAUUUUGACCAACCUUAAAAGCAAAGCUCAGCUCUAACCGUCCUCUUUGGUAAGCCUUACACUUCACGUGAGCUCCCACCUUUGGCGAGUUCAUGCACAUUGUUCCCCACAACUUGUUGAGCGAUGAACGUAUGUGAGCUCACUCUUGCUGUCUCACCCCCCCACAGGUCAAUAACAGGUACCACAGGAUGAGGCGCAUGGAGGAUGCUGUGGCGAGUUCGUGAGAGAUCUAGGCCGUCGUCUCCCAGUCAACUUUGGGUUGCUGGACCGUUGUCUCCUUAUAAUGUAAUUAUUUAUUUUGUAUAGAACUCCUGUUAUGUAGUAAAGAUGUGACAUUCGAUCUUGUGCCAUGAUUCAUCAUAUGUGUGAGACUUGGUCCCAGCACACCUGAUGAUUAUGUUCGCA